GAUGAACGCUGGCGGCGUGCCUAAUACAUGCAAGUCGAGCGAACGGACGAGAAGCUUGCUUCUCUGAUGUUAGCGGCGGACGGGUGAGUAACACGUGGAUAACCUACCUAUAAGACUGGGAUAACUUCGGGAAACCGUAGCUAAUACCGGAUAAUAUUUUGAACCGCAUGGUUCAAAAGUGAAAGACGGUCUUGCUGUCACUUAUAGAUGGAUCCGCGCUGCAUUAGCUAGUUGGUAAGGUAACGGCUUACCAAGGCAACGAUGCAUAGCCGACCUGAGAGGGUGUCGGCCCCACGUGGAACUGGGACCCGGCCCAGACCCCGAGGGGAGGCACGGGCAGGAAAUUUUCGGCAGGGGGCGAAAGCCUAAAGGAGCAACGCCGCGGGGGUGAGGAAGGGCUGGGGAGCGUAAACCUUUUUUAUUGGGGAAGAAAAAAUUUGUAAGUAACUGGGCCAUUCUGGCGGGUCCCAAAGCAGAAGGCCCCGGUAACUUCGUG
rnacentral:rRNA from 1 species